UGCCAGGAACCAUGCGGAAGGCGGCCGCCCAACCCCGUCAGGUCCGGAAGGAAGCAGCGGUAAGCGGUUAGCUUUUGCGCCGUGGAGCUCCUGGCGGGG
rnacentral:SRP_RNA from 1 species